UUUCAAAGAUAGCUUCUUUCUAGUUUUUAUUGCGGGAUAUUUGGUUUUUCUCUAUAGGCCUGAAGUGGGCUGCAAAAUGGCAUUUCACAGACUCUACAAAAAGAGUGUUUCCAACCUGCGGAAUCAAAAGACAGGUUUAACUAUGUGAACUGAAUGCACACAUCACAAAGCAGUUUCACAGGUAGUUUCUUUGUAGUUUGCAUCAGGGGAUAUUCAGUUUUACACUGUAGUCAUCUUUGGCCCCUGAAAUGCCCCUUUGCAGAUUCUACAAAAAGAGUUUUUCCAACCUGUUGAAUCAAAAGAAAGGUUUAUCUCUUUGACCUGAAUCCACAUAUCACAAAGCAGUUUCACAGAUAUAGCUUCUUUAAGGUUUUUAUCAUGGGAUAUUCACUUUUUCACUAUAGGCCUCAGAAAGCUCUGAAAUGUCCCUUUGCAUAUACCACAAAAAGUGUGUUUACUAAACCAGAAAAUCAAAAGGAAAGUUUAACUUUGUGAGCUGAAUCCAUACAUCACAAAGCAGUUUCAGAUGGGUUCUUUCUGCUUUUCAUCAUAGCCCUCAGUGGGCUUCGAAAUGUCUAUUCACAGACUCUAAAAAAAAGUGUUUUCAGCCUGCUAAUCAAAAGAAAUGUACAAGUUUGUGAGCUGAGUCCACACAUCACAGGUAGAUUCUUCCUAGUUGUUUUCAUUGGAUAUUUGGUUUUUCACUAUAGGCCUCAGUGGCCUUCAAAGUGUCCCUUCGCAGAUUUGAAAAUAAGACUGUUUCCAACCUGCUGAAUGAAAAGAAAGGUUUAACUCUGUGUGCUGAAUCCACACAUCACUAAUCAAUUUCACAGAUAGCUUCUUUUUAGUUUUUAUCACGGGAUAUUCUAUUUUUCAACAUAGUACUCAGUGGACUUUGAAAUGCCUCUUUGCAGCUUCUACAAAAAGAGUGUUUCCAACCUGCUAAAUAAAAAAAAAAAAAAGAUUUACCUCUGUGAGCUGAAUCCAUACAGGACAAAGCAGUUUAACAGAUAGGCUCUAUCUAGUUUUUAUCAUAAGAUAUUCAAGUUUUCGAUAUAGGACAUAGUAGGCUGCAAAAUGUCCCUUUACAGAUUCUACAAAAAGAGUGUUUACAACCUGCUGAAUCAAAAGGCAGGUUUAACUCUGAGAGUUGAACCCAGACCUCUCAAAGCAGUGUUACAGAUAGCUUCUUUCUGGUUUUUAUAAUAGGAUUUUUUGUUUUUAUCUAUAGGCCUUGGCGGGCUAAGAAAUGUUCCUUCACAGAUCCUACAAAAGUAGUAUUUCCAACAUGCUGAAUGAAAAGAAAGGUUUAACUCUGUGAACUGAAUGCAAACAUCACAAAGUUUCACAGAUAGCUUCUUUCUAAUUUUAAUUAUGAGCUUUUCAGUUUUUCACUGUAGGACUGUUUGCUCUGAAAUGUCAAUAUGCUAAUUCUAAAGAAAGAGUGUUUACAACCUGCUGAAUGAAAAGAAUGGGUUAAUUCUGUUAGCUGAGCCCACACAUCACAAAGCAGCUUCACACAUAGCUUCCUUCUAGUUUUAAUCGCAGGGUAUUCAGUUUUCACUAUAGGCCUCAGUGGGCUCUGAAAUGUCCCUUCCCAGAUUAUUCAAAAAGAAUGUUUACAACCUGCUUAACCAAAAUAAAGGUUAACUCUGUGAGUUGAAUCCACAUAUCACAAAGCAGUUUCACAGUAGUUUCUUCAAAGUUUUUAUCAUGGGAUAUCCAUUUAUUUACUAUAGGCCUCAGGGAGCUCUGAAAUGUCCCUUCACAUAUUCUACAAAAAGUGUGUUUCCAAUCUGGAGAAUCAAAAGAAAGGUUUAACUUUGUGAGCUGAAUCCACACAUCACAAAGCAGUUUCACAGAUAGCUUCUUUCUACUGUUUAUCUUGAAAUAUUCAGAUUUUCAACAUAGCCCUCAGUGGGCUUCAAAAUGUCUUUUUGCAGAUUCUAAGAAAAUAAUGUUCCACUCUGCUAAAUAAAAAAAAAAAAUACAAAUUUGUCAGCUGAAUCCACACAUCACAAAGUAGUUUCACAGAUAGCUUCUUUCAAGUUUUUUUUUUCCACAGGAUAUUCAGGUUUUCACUACAGGCCUCAGUGCCCUGUGAAGUGUCCCUUUGCAAAUUCGAAAACAAGAGUGUUUACAACCUGCUGAAUGAGAAGAAAUAUUUAAGUCUGUGAGCUGAUUGCACACAUCAAAAAGAAGUUUCACAGAUAGCUACUUUCUAGUUUUUAUUGUGGGAUAUUCCAUUUUCCAUAUAGCCCUCAGUGGACUUUGAAAUAUCUUGUUGCAGCUUUUACAAAAAGAGUGUUUACAACCUGCUAAAUACAAAGAAAGUUGUACCUCUGUGAGCUAAAUCCACACAUUACAAAGCAGUUUAACAGACAGUUUUGGUCUGGUUUUUGUCACGGGAUUUUCAGUUUUUCACUAUAGGACUCAGAGGGAUUUGAAUUGUCCCUUUGCAGAUUCUGCAGAAAGAGUGUUUACAACCUGCUGAAUUGAAAGAUAGGUUUACCUCUGUGAGUUGAACCUGCACCUGACAAAGCAGUUCCAUAGAUAGCUUCUUUCUAGUUUUUAUCACAAGAUUUUCAGUUUUUAACUGUAGACCUCUUUGUGCUAAGAAAUAUCCAUUCACAGAUUGCACAAAGAGACUGUUUCCAUCCUGCUGAAUCAAAAGAAAAGUUUAACACUGUGAACUGAAUGCACACAUCACAAGUUUUCACAGAUAGGUUCUUUCCAGUUUUUAUCAUGGGAUUUUUUGUUUUUUCACUAUAGGACUCAGUUUGCUCCAAAAUGUAAAUUUGCAGAUUUUACAAAAGGUGUGUUUACAACCUGCUAAAUCAAAAGAAAGGUUUAACUCUGUUAGGUAAACCCACAAACCACAAAGUAGUUUUAGAGACAGCUUCCUUCUAGUUUUUACUGCGGGGUAUUUUGUUUUCACUGUAGGCCUCUGUGGGCUCCAAAAUAUUCCUUCCCAGAUUCUACAAAAAGAGUUUUUACAAGUUGCUGAGUCAAAAGAAAGGUUUAACUCUGUAAGUUGAAUCUACACCUCACAAAGCAGUUUCACAGAUAGCUUCUUUCUAGUUUUAUCAUGGGAUAUUCGUUUUUUCACUAUACUCCUUAGUGGGCUCUGAAAUGUCCCUUCCAAGAUACUAAGAGGGUUUCCAACCUACUGAAUCAAAAGAAAGGUUUAGCUCUGUGACCUGAAUCCACUGAUCACUAAGCAGUUUCACAUAUAGCUUCUUUCUAGUUUUUAUCAUGGGGUAUUUUGUCUUUUACUAUAGGCCGCAGAUGGCUCCAAAUGUCCCUUGGAAGAUUCUACAAAAAACAGUGUUUACAAUCUACUGAAUCAAAAAAAAAAAAAAGUUUAGCUUUGUGUGCACGAUCUACACAUCAUAAAGCAGUUUUACAGAUAAAUUCUUUCUACUUUUUAUUGUGACAUAUUCCGUUUUUCACUAAAGGCCUCAGUCGGCUCUGAAAUGCAUACUCACAGAUUCCACUAAAAGAGUGAUUCAACCUGCUGAAUCAAAAACAAUGUAACUCUGUGAACUGAAUCCAAAUAUCACAAAACUGUUUAACAGAUAGUUUCUUUCCAGUUAUUAUCACGGGAUGUUCUGUUUUUCACUAAAGGUGUCAGUGUUCUCCAAAAUGUCUAUUCGCAGAUUCUACAAAUAAAGUGUUUCAAGCUGCUGAAUCAAAAGAAAGUUUUAACUCUGUGAAAUGAAUUCACACAUCACAAAGCAGUUUCACAGAUAGCUUCCUUCUAGUUUAUAUCACGGGAUAUUCUGUUUUUCACUAUAGGCUUCAAACGUCUCCAAAAUGUCCCCUCGCAGAUUCUACCGGUAGAGUGUUUCUAAUCUACUGAAUCCAAAGACAGGUUUAACUCUGUUCGCUGAAUGCACACAUCAGGAAGCAGUUUCACAGAGAGCUUCCUUCUAGUUUUUAUGAUGGCAUAUUCAGUUUUUACUACAGGUCUCAGUGGGCUCCAAAGCAGUUUCUGUAAAAAAAGCUCUUCCAACCUUCUGAACAAAAGAAAGAUUUAACUCUUUGAACUGUACAAUCACAUCACAGGGGAGUUUUGCAAAUAGCUUCUUUCUAGUUUAUAUCACAAGAUAUUCUGUUUUCACUAUAGGUUUCAGUAGGCUCAGAAAUGUCCAUUCACAGAUUCUACAAAAAGAGUGUUUCUAAUGUGCUGAAUCUAAAGAAAAGUUUUUCUGUGAGCAGAACUUACACAUCACAAGGCAGUUUCAAGAUAGCUUCUUUCUAUUAAUUAUAGCAGAAUAUUCAGUUUUUCACUAUUAGGCCAAAUUGAGUUCUGAAAUGUACCUUUGCAGAUACUGUCAGAAGAGGGUUUCCAACCUGCUGAAUCAAAAGAAAGAUUUAACUCUACGAGCUGAAUCCACACAUAACAAAGCAGUUUCACAGAUAGCUUCAUUCUAGUUUUUAUUGCAGGGUAUUCAGGUUUUCUGUAUAGGCUCCAGUGCACUCUGAAAUCUUCCUUUGCUGAUUUUACAAAAAGAGUGUUUUCAACCUGGUACAUCAAAAGAAAGUUUUAACACUGUCAAGUGAAUGUACACAUCCCAAAACAGUUUCAAAAUUAGCUUCUUUCUGUUUUUUUGUUUUUAAAUGGAUAUGUGGUUUCUCCUUAUAGGCCUCAGUCAGAUGCAAAAUGUCCUUUUGCAGAUUCUACAAAGAGAGUGUUUCCAAACUCCUUAAUCAGGAGAAAGGUUUAACUCACUGAGUUGAAAGCACACAUCACAAAGCGGUUUCACAGAAAGUUUCUUUAUAAUUUUUAUAGUGGGAUAAUAUGUUUUCCACUAUAGGCCUCAGUUUACUCUGAAAUGUCCAUUGGCAGAGUCUACAAAAACUUUGUUUUCAACUUGCUGAAUCAAAAAGAAGUUCUAACUUUGUUAGCUUAAUACACACAUACCAAAUCAGCUUCACAGAUAGUUUCUUUCUAGUUUUAUGAUGGUAUAUUCAGUUUUUCACUAUAGUACUCAGCUUGCUCUGAAAUGCCCUUUACCAGAUUCUACAAAAAAAAGAAAGAGGGUUCCCUACCUGUUGUAUCAAAUGAUAGGUUUAACUCUGUGAGCUGAAUCCACACAUCUCAAAGCACUUUCACAAAUAGCUUCUUUCUUGUUUCUAUCACAGGAUAUACAGUUUUUCACUAUUGGUCUCAGGGGUGUCUGAAAUGUCUUUUCACAGAUUUUACAAGAAGAAUGUUUUCCACCUGCUGAAAUGAAAGAAAUUUUGAACUCUGUGAGCUAAAUGCACACAUCACAAAGCAGUUUCCAAGAUAAAUUUUUUUUUCUAGUUUUUAUCACGGGAUAAUCAGUUUUUCACUAUAGGACUCAGUAGGCUGUGAAAUAUAGUUUUGCAAAUUCUACCAAAAGAGUGUUCUAACCUGCUGAAUGAAAAGAAUAGUUUAACUCUCCGAGCUGAAUCCACACAUCACAAAGCAGUUUCACAGGUAACUUCUUUCUAGCUUUUAUCACAGAAUAUUUGGUUUUUCACGAUAGGUGUGAGUGGGCUCUGAAAUGUCCCAUCACAGACUCUACAAAUAGAGUGUUUCCAAUGCACUGAAUCCAAAAAAAGGUUUCAAUCUGUGAGGUAAAUCUUCACAUCACAAAACGGUUUCACAGAUAGCUUCUUUCUCGAUUUUAUCAUAGAAUAUUGUUUUUCAUUACUCAUCUCAGGGGGUCUGAAAUGUCCACUCACACAUUACAUAAAAAGAGUUUUUCCCAUCUGCUGAAUCAAAAGAAAAAUUUAACUUUGUGAGAGGAAUGCACACAUCACAAAGCAGUUUCACAGAUAGCUUCUUUCUAGUUAUCAUGGGAUAUUCAUUUUUUCACUAUUGGACUCAGUGGGCUCUGAAAUGUCCCCAUGUAGAUGCUACAAGAAGAGUAUUUUUAACCUACUAAAUCAGAAGAAAGGUUUAAUGUGUGAGCUGAAUACACACAUCACAAAUCAGCUUAACUGAAGCUUCUUACUAUUUUUUGUUCAAGGAUAUUCAGUUUUUCUUCAUAGGCCUCAGUGGGUUCCAAAAUAUUCCAUUGCAGACUCUACAAAAAGAGUAGUUCCAGCCUUCUGAAUCGAGGGAAAGUUUUAAUUCUGUGAGCUCAAUCCAAAUGUUACAAAGCAGUUUCACAGAUGAUAGCUUAUUUCUAGUUUUUAUUGUCAGAUAGUCAAUUUUUUAUAAUAGGUCUCAGUGGGCUCUGAAAUGUCCCUUUGUAGCUUCUACAAAAAGAGUGUUUCCUACCUGCUGAAACAAUGGAAAUAUUUCCAAUCUGCUGAAUUUAAAGAGAGGUUUAACUCUGUGAGCUGAAUAUACACACCACAAUGCUGUUUGAAAGAUAGUUUUUCUUCAUGGGAUAUUCAAUUUUUCAAUAUUAACCUCUGUUUUUUUCUGAAAUGUCCCUUCACAGUAUCUCCUUAAAGAGUAUUUCCAACUUGCUGAAUGAAAAGAAAGGUUUAACUCUGUUAGCUCUAUCCACACAUCACAAAGCAGUUUCACAGACACCUUCUUUCUAGUUUUUAUUGAGAUAUUUUAUCUUUCAUUUUAGGGCUCAGUGGGCUUUGAAAUGUCCCUUCACACUUUCUACAAAAAGAGUGUUUCCAACCUGUUGAAUCAAAAGAAAAGUUAUACUCUGAGCUAAAUGCACACACCACAAAGAAAUCUCAUCAAUCGCUUCUUUCUAGUUUUUUUCAUGGGAUGUUCAGUUUUCAAUAUAGGACUCAGUAGGCUGCAAAAUGUCCCUUCACAGAUCCUACAAAAUCAGUGGUUCCAAUUUACUAAAUAAAAUAAAAGUUUAACUCUGUUAGUUGUUUUUAUGCAUCAAAAAGUAAUAAAACAGAUAGCUUAAUUCUAGUUUUUAUCAUGGGUUAUACCAUUUUUUAUUAUAGGUCUCAGUGAGCUCCAAAAUGUAACUUCACUGAUUCUACAAAAAGAGUGUUUCCAACCUAUUGAAUCAAAACAAAUUUUAACUCUGUGAGCUGAAUCCACACAUCUCUAAGCAGUUUCACAGAUAGCGUCUUUCUCGUUUUAAUCAAGGGAUAUUCAAUUUUCACUGUAGGCCUCAUUGGGUUCUGAAAUGACCCUUCACAGAUUCUAAAAAAGAGUGUUUCCAAACUGAUGAAUCAAAAGAAACGUUUAACUCUGAAUUUAAGAAAAUUGUGAACUCUGUGAGCUGAGUGCACACAUCACAAAACGGUUUCACAAAUAAAUUCUGUCUAGUUUUUAUCAUGGGAUAUUUGGUUAUUCAGUAUAGGCUUCAAAGGACUCGGAAAUGUCCCUUCACAUUUUCUGCAAAAAAAGGUUUCCAACCUACUUCUUCGAAGGAAACAUUUAACUCUGUGAGCUGAAUCCUCACAUCACAAAGCAGUUUAACAGAUAGUUUCUUUCUAGUUUUUAUUAUAAGAUAUUCGUUUUUUCACUAUAACCUCAAUGAGCUCUGAAAUAUCCUUUUGGAGAUUAUAUAAAAAGAGUGCUGCCAACAUCCUGAGUCAAAAGAAAGUUUUAACACAGUGAACUGAAUCCACACAUCACAAACAAAUUUCACAAUAGCUUGCUUUAGUUUUCUCCAAUAUAUUCAGUUUUUCACUAUAGGUGUAAGUGGGCUCUGAAAUAAAUCUACAAAAUGAUUGCUUCAACUAGCUGAAUAAUAAAAAAAAAGUUUUAAUUCUGUGAGCUGAAACCACACAUCACAAAGCAGUUUCACAGAUAGAUUCUUUCCAGUUUUCAUUGAGGAAUACUCUGCUUUUCAUGUAAGAACUCAGUGAGGUCCCAAAUGUUCCUUCACAGUUUCUACAAAAAGAGUGCCUUUUUAUCACUAUAGGCAACAUUGGGCACUGAAAUGUGCCAUUGCAGAUUGAACAAAAAGAGUGUUUCCAACCUGCUGAAUCAAAAGAAAGGUUUAAAUCUGUGAGAUAAAUCCACACAUCACUAAGUGGUUUCAGAGAUAGCAUCUUUCUAGUUUUUUAACUAGGGCUAUUAAUUUUUUCACUAUAGGCCUCAAUGGGCUCCAAAAGUCCCUUCGCAGAUUCUACAAAACGAGUGUUUCCAAACUGCUGAAUCAAAAGAAAGGUUUAACUUUGUGAGAUGAAUCCACACGUUACAAAGUAGUAUUACAUGUAGCUUCUUUCUAAUUUUUAUUUUGGGAUAUUCAGUUUUUCACUACAGUCCUCAAUCGGCUUCAAAAUGUCUCUUCACAUAUUCUACAAAAAGAGUGUUUUUAAACAGCAGAAUCAAAACAAAGGUUUAACCCUGUGAGCUUAAUCCAUCCAUCACAAAGUAGUUUCACAGAGAGCUUAUUUUGACUUUUAAUCUUGGGAUAUGCUGUUUUUCACUAUCAGCUUCAGUCGGCUAUGAAAUGUCUUUUCGCAGAUUCAACAAAAAAAGUGUUUUCACCCUGCUGGAAAAAAAGAAAGCUUUAAAUCUGUGAGCUGAGUGUACAAUUCAUAAAGCAGUUUCACAGAUAUCAUCUUUCUUGUUUUUAUUGUGAGAUAUUCAGUUUUUCACUAUAGGCCACAGAUUUUAUCAAAAGAGUGUCUCCAACCAGCUAAAUCAAAAUAAACGUUUAACUCUGUGAGCUGAAUUCACACACCACAAAGCAAUUUCACAAACAGAUUCUUUUUAGUUUUUAUUGUGGGAUAUUUGUUUUUUCACUAUAGGCCUCAGUGUGCUUUGAAAUGUUCCUGUGCAGAUUGUACAAAAAGAGCAUUUCAAACCUUCUGAAUCAAUGGUAUGGUUUAAGUCUGUGAGCUGAAUCCAGGCAUCACAAAGUAGUUUCACACAUGGUUUCAUCAAAAGUUUUGUCAUAGGCUAUACAGUUUUUCACUAUAAGCCUCAGUGGGCUCCAAAAUAUCCAUUUGCAGAUUCUACAAAAAAAGCGUUUCCAACCUGCUGAAUCAAAAGCAAGGAUUAACUGUGAGCUGAAUUCACACAACAAAAAAUAAUUUCACAGAUAACUUCUUUCUAGUUUGUAUUGCAAGAUAUUCACUGUUUCACAAUAGGCAUUAGUGGCCUCUGAAAUGUCCCUUCACAGACCUACAAAAAGAGUGUUUCCAAAAUAAUGAAUCAAAAGAAAGGUUUAAGUCUGUGAGGUGAAUACAGACAUCAAAAAGAAAUUUCACCUAUAGAUUCAUUCUAGUUUUUAUCUCACAAUGUUAGUUUUUUUAGUAAAUGUGUCAGUGGGCUCAGAAAUGUCCCCUCAUAGAUUCUACAGAAAGAGUGUUUCCAACCUGCUGAAUCAAAAAACGGUUUAUAUCUGUGAUCUGAAUGUACACAUCACAAAGGAGUUUCACAGAUAGCUUCUUUCUAGCUUUUGUUGAUGGAAAUUCUUUUCUUCAAUAUAGGCAUCAGUGGGCUCCAAAAUAUUUCUUCACAGAUUUUUCAAAAAGAGUGCUUCCAAUUUGCUGAAACAAAAGAAAUGUUUAACUCUGUGAGCUGAAUCCACACAUUACAAAGCAGUUUCACAGAUAGCUUUUUUCUAGUUCUUAUCAUGGAUAUUCAGUUUUUCAAUAAAGGUGUCAUUGGGCUUUGAAAUAUUUCUUCACAAACUUACAAAAAGGGUGUUUCCAACUUGCUGAAACAAAAGAAACGUUGAACUCUGAACUGAAUCCACACAUCAAAAAGCAGUUUCACAGAUAACUUCUUUCUAAUUUUUAUCUCGGGAUAUUCGUUUUUUUACUACAGGCCUCAGUAGCCUCCCAAAUGUCUAUUCACAGAUUUGACAAAAAACUGUUUCCAAUCUGCUGAUUCAAAAAACAGAUUUAACUCCGUGAACUGAAUGCACACAUCACAAAGCAGUUUCACAGAGAACUUCUUUCCAGUUUUUAUCUCAAGAUACACGAUUUUUCACUAUAUGGUUAACUGGGCACCAAAAUGUCCCAUAGUAGAUUCUACAAUAAGCCUUCUUCCAACUUCUUAAUUAAAAGAAAUCUUCAACACAGUGAGCUAAAUCUACACACCACAAAGUAGAUUCACAGAUAGUUUUUUCUAGUUUUUUAUCAUGGGAUAUUUCAGGUUUUCACUAUAGGACUAAGUCAUCUCCAAAAUAUCCAUUUGCAGAUUCUAAAAAAAGAGUAUUUCAAACCUGCUGAAUCAAAAGAAGGUUUUAACUCUGUGACUUUACUCCACACAUUACAAAGCAGUUUCACAGACAGCUUAUUUCAAGUUUUUAUCCUGUUGGCUCUAAAAUGUCCUUUCAGAGAUUCUACAAAAAGAGUGUUUCAAACCUGCUUAAUCAAAAGAAAGAUUAAACUCUGUGAACUGAAUGUACACAUCACAAAGCAGUUUCACAGAUAGGUUCUUUCAACUUUUUAUUGUGGGAUGAUCAGUUCUGCAUCAUAGGCCUCACUUUGCUCUGAAAUGAUCCUUUGUAGAUUCUACAAAUGAGUGUAUUAAACCUGGUGAAUCAAAAGUAAAGUUUAACACUGUGAGCAGAAUACACACAUCAGAAAGCAGUUUCACAAUCAGCUUCUUUCUAGUUUUUAUCACGGGAUAUUCUUUUUUUCACUUUUGGACUCAGUGGGCUAUGAAGUGGUUCUUUGGAGAUUCUACAAAAAGAGAGUCUACAGCCUCCUUAAUCAAAAGAUAGGUUUUACUCUGAGUGGAAGGCACACAUCACAAUGCAGUUUCACAGAUCAUUUCUUUCUAGUUUUUAUUGCGUGAUUUUUGGUUUUUCACUUUUGAACUCAAUUGGCUUUGAAAUGCCUCUUCACAGAUACUGCAAAAAAAAGUUUUCAACAUGCUGAAUCAAAAGAAAAGGUUAACUCAGUGAGCAGAAUCCAGACAUCACAAAGCAAUUUCACAUAUGGCUUCUUUCUAGUUUUUAUUGCAAGAUAUUCAGUUUUUGACAUUUGAACCCAGUGGGCCCUGAAAUGUCCCUUUGCUGAUACUGCAAAGAGUGUUUCCAAUCUGCUGAAUCAAGAAAAAGCUUUAACUCUCUGAAAUGAAUACACACAUCACAAAGAAGUUUCACAGAUAGCUUCUUUCUAGUUUUUAUUGUGGGAUAUUCUGUUUUUCACUAAGGGCCUCAUUUAGGUACAAAAUGUCCCAUCUCAGAUGCUACAAAUACAGUGUUUCCAACCUGCUGAAUCAAAAGACAGGCUUUAUUCUGUGAUCUGAAUCCACACAACAAAAGCAGUCUGACUGAUAGCUUCUUUUUAGUUUUAGUCACAGAACAUUCAAUUUUUCACUGUAAGCCUCAGUGGGCUCCAAAAUGUUCCCUCACAGAUUCUACAAAAAGAGUUUUUCCAACCAGCUGAAUCAAAAGAAAGGUUUAACCCUGUGAGCUGAAUGCACAUAUCACAAAGCAGUUUCUCAGAGAGAUUUUUUCUAGUUUUUAUGGUGGGAUAUUCAGUUUCAAACUUUAGGCUUCAGUGGCCUUCGGAAUGUCCCUUUGCAGAUUCUACAAAAAGAUUCAUUCCUACCUGGAAAAUCAGAAGAAAGUAUUAACUCUGUGUGCUGAAUCCUCACAUCACAAGCAGUUUAACAGAUUUUUCUUUCUAGUAUUUAUCACAGGAUAUUCAAUUUCUCACUAUUGGCCUCAGUGGGCUCCAAAAUGUCCCUUUGCAGAUUCUACAAAAAUAGUGUUUCCUACCUGCUGAAUCAAAAGAAAGGAUUAACUCUGUGAUCUGAAUGCACACAUGACAAAGCAGUUUCACAGAGAGAUUCAUUCUAGUUUUUAUCAUGGGAUAUUCAGUUUUUCUCAAUAGGCCUCAGUGGGCUCUGAAAUGUCCGUUCACAGAUUCUAAAAAAAAAAAGGGUUUCUAACCUGCUGAAUAAAAAGAAAUGUUUAACUCUGUGAGUGAAAUGCACGUAUCACAAAACAGUUUCCCAGAUAAUUUUUUUCUAGUUUUUAUCAUGGGAUAUUCAGUUUUACACUGUAGGCUUCAGUGGCCUCCAAAAUGUCCCUUUGCAGAUUCUAAAAAAAAAGUGCCUCCAACCUGCUAAAUCAAAGGAAUGAUUUAACUCUUUGAACUUAAUCCAUGCUUCAUAAUGCAGUUACACAGACAGCUUCUUUCUAGUAUUUAUCAUGGAAUAUUCAGUUUUUCACUACAGGCUGCAGUGGGCUCAAAAAUGUCCCUUCACAUAAGCUACAAUAAGAGUGUUUCCAACCUACUGAAUCAAAAGAAGCUUAACUCUUUGAGUUGAAUCCACAUAUGACAAAGCAGUUUCUCAGAUAGCUUCUUUCUAGUUUUAUGCAGGGAAUAUUUUGUUUUUCACUAUAGGCCUCAGUGGGCACCAAAUGUCUCUUCGCAAAUGCUUCAAAAAAAAGUUUUCCAAACCUUCUGAGUGAAAAGAGAGGUUUAAAUUUGGUACCUGAAUCCUCUCAUCAAAAAGCAGUUUCAUGGAUACUUUCUUUCUAGUUUUUAUCAUGGAGUAUUCAGUUUUUCAUAAUAGGUCUUAGUGGGCUCUGAAAUAUUCCUUCUCAGAUUCUACAAAGAGAAUGUUUUCAACCUGUGGAAUCAAAACAAAAGUUUAACUCUGAGAGCUGAAUCCACACUAAACAAAGCAGAUUCACACAGAGAUUCUUUCUAGUUUUGAUUGGGAGAUAUUCAGUUUUUUACUUUAGCCCUCAGUUUGCUCUGAAAUAUCCCUUCACUUAUUGUACAAAAAGAGUGCUUCCAACCUGCCGUGUCAAAGUAAAGCUUAAUUCUGUGAGCUGAAUCCACAGAGCACAAAGCAAUUUCACAGAUAGCUUCUUUCUAGUUUAUAUUGGGGGAUAUUCUGUUUUUCACUCUUGGCCUUAUGGGGAUCAGAAAUGUUGCUUUGCAGAUUCUACAAAAGAGUGUAUGCAACCUGCUGAAUUAUAAGAAAGGUUUAACUCUGUAAACUGAAUACACACAUCAAAAAUCCGUUACACAGAUAGCUUCUCUCUAGUUUUUGUGACAGUUUAUUCUGUUUCUCACUGCAGGCUUCACUGAACUGCAAAAUGUCCCUUUGUAGAUUCUAAAAAAUAGACUGUUUCCAACCUGCUGAAUAAAAAGAAAGUUUUAAGCCUGGGAGCUGAAUCCACCUACCACAAAGCAGUUUUUCAGGCAGCUUCUUUCUAGUGGUUAUUGCAGGAUAUUCAGUUUUAAACUAUAGUCCUCAGUGGGCUCUGAAAUGCCUUUACCUAGAUUCUCCAAAAAGAAUGUUUCCAACCUGCUGAAUCACAGAAAGAAUUUAACUCUGUGAGUGAAAUGCACAUGUCACAAAGCAGUUUCACAGAUAGCUUCUUUCUAGUUUUUAGUGUGGGAUUUUCAGUUUUUCACUAUAGGCCUCAGUGCGCUCCAAAAUGUUAAUUCACAGAUUCUACAAAAAGAGCGUUUCCAACCUGCUGAAUAAAAAGAAAUGUUUAUCAUUUUGAACUGAAUUUACAGAUCACAAAGCAGUUUCACAGAUAGCUUCUUUCUAGAUUUUAUCAUGGGAUAUUCUGUUUCCCAUGAUAGGUCACAUUGGGCUCCAAAAUGUAGCUUUGCAGAUUCUACAAAAUGAGUUUUUCCAACCUGGUGAAUAAAAGGAAAAUUUCAAUUCUGUAAGCUGAAUGUCUACAUAACAAAGCAUUUCACAGAUACAUUCUUUCUAGUGUUUAUCACAGAAUAUUGUGUUUGUCAUUAUAGACUUCUGCUUGCUCUGAAAUAUCCCUUUGCAGAUUCUAUAAAAAGAAUUAUUCCAGCCUUCUAAAUCAACAGAAAAGUUUAUCUCUGUGAGCUGAAUCCAUACAUCACAAAUUAGAUGAACAGAUGACUUCUUUCUAUUUAUUAUUGUGGAAUAUUCAAUUUUUCAUUACAGGCCUCAGUGGGAUCAGAAAUGUCCCUUUGAAGAUUGUACAAAAAGAAUCUUUCCACUGGUGAAUCCAAAGAAAGUUUUAACUCUUUGAGCCGAAUGCAUACGUCACAAAAAAGUUUCACAGAUACCUUCUUUCUAGUUUUUAAUCAUGGAAUAUUUGGUUGUUCACUUUAGGACUAGUGUUUCUGAAAUGUCCCUUUGCAGGUUCUACAAAUGUGUGUUUCCAAUGAUCUGAAUCCAAAGUAAGACUUAACUCUGUGAGCUGAAGGCUCACAUCACAAGCCACUUCACAGAUAGCUUCUUUCUAGUUUUUAUCACAAGAUAUUCUUUUAUUCACCAUAGGCCUUAGUGGACUCAGUAAUGUCCCUUCACAGAUUCUCCAAAAAGAGUGUUUCCAACCUGCUGAAUCACAAGAAAGGUUUACCUCUGUAAGCUGAAUCCACACAUCACAAAGAAAUUUCACACAUAGCUUCUUUCUACUUUUUAUCAUCGUAUAUUCAGUUUCUCACUGUAGGCUUCAGUGGGCUGAGAAAUACUUCUUCACAGAUUCUAAAAAAAAAAGAAUAUUUCCAACCUGCUGAAACAAAAAUGGUUCACAUUUGUGAGCUGAAUGCAACAUUACAAGGGAGUUUCACAGAUCUCUUCCUUCUAGUGUUUAUUGCAGAAUAUUCUUUUUGUCACUAUUGGGUUCUAUUUGCUUUGAAAUGUCCCUUUUCAGAUUCUACAAAAACAGUGAUUCCAACCUUCUAAAUCAAUAGAAAUGUUUAACUCGGUGAGCCAAAUCCACACAUCACAAAUUAGAUGCACAGAUGGCUGCUUUCUAUUUGUUAUUGCGGAAUAUUCAUUUUUUCACUACUGGCCUCAGUAGGCUCUGAAAUGUCCCUUCAUAGAUUCUACAAAAAGCAUGUUUCCAAUCUGCUGAAUCAAAAGAAAGGUUUAACUUUGUGAGCUGAAUGCAUAUCUCACAAAGAAGUUUCUCAGAUAGUUUCUUUCUAGUUUUUAUCAUGCAAUAUUUAGUUUUUCAUUCUAGCCCUCAGUGAGCUUCAAAAUGACCCAUGGCUGAUUCUACAAGAGUGCUUUCAACCUGCUGAAUCAAAAGAAAAGUUUUACUCUGUGAGCUGAAUGCAAAUGUCAUAAAACAGUUUCACAGAUAUCUUCUUUCUAUUUUUUAUCAGGGGAUAGUCUGUUUUUUUACCAUAGGUUUCAGUGGGCUCCUAAAUGUCUCUUCACAGUUUCUACAAUAAAAGAGUUUCCAUUGUGCUGCAUAAAAAGUGAUGUUUAACUCUGUGAACUGCAUCCACACAUCACAAAGCAGUUUCACAGAAAGCUUCUUUUUAGUUUUUAAUAGCGGGAUAUUUGGAUUUUCUGUAAAAUCCUCAGUGUUCACCAAAAUGUCCCUUCACAGUUCUACAUAAAGAGUGUCUCCAACCUUCUAAAUGAAAAGAAAAGUUUCACUGUUGUAGCUGAAUUCACACAUCACAAAGCAUUUUCACAGAUAUCUUCAUUCAAGUAUUUAUCAUGAAAUAUUAAGUUUUUCACUGUAGGCCUCAGUAGUCUCCAAAACGUUUCCUUGAAUAUCCUAGAAAUAGAGUGUUACCAACCUGCUGAAUAAAAAGGAACAUUUAACUCUAUGAGCUGAAUCCACACAUUACAAUGCAAUUUCACAGAUAGAUUCUUUAUAGUUUUUUUUUCCCCCUCAGGUAUAACGUUUUACACCGUAGACCUCAGUGGGCUGUGAAAUGUCCCUUUCCAGACACUACAAAAAGAGUUCUUCCAACAUUCUGAAUCAAAUAUUUCAAAAGAAAUAUUAAACUCUGAGAGCUAAAUCCAUGCACCACAAAGCAAUUUCACAGAUAGCUUUGUUCUAGUUUUGUGUGUGUGUUUUGGCGGGGGGGGGGGGGGAUAUUCAAUUUUUCACUAUAGGCCUCAGUAGGCUUAGUAAUGUCCCUUCACAGGUUCUACAAAAAGAGUAUUUCCAACCUGUUGAAUAAAAGAAAGGCUUAACAGUGAACUGAAUGUACAUGUCAAAAAGGAGUUUCACAGGUAGCUUAUUUCUCAUUUUUAUUAUGGGAUAUUCCAUUAUUCUUUGUAGACCUCAGUGGGCUCCAAAAUGUCCCUUUGCAGAUUCCACAAAAGGAGUUUUUCCAACCUACUUAGUGAAAAGAAAAGUUUAACUCUGUCAGCUGAAUGCAUACAUCACACCAAAGUUUCUUGUAUAGCUUCUUUCUAGUUUUUAUCAUAGAAUAUUUGGUUUUUAACUAUAGGCUUCAGUGGGCUCUGAAAUGAAUCAUGGAUUCUAAUAAAAGAGUGUUUAAAACCUGUAGAAUCAAAGGAAUGGUUUAACUUUGUGAGCCGAAUGCACCCCUCACAAAAAAAGUUUCACAGACAGCUUCUUUCUAGUUUUUAUCACAAAAAUUUGUUUUUUCACUGUAGGCCUAGCGGGCUCUGAAAUGUCAAUUUGCAGGUCCUACAGAAAGGUGUUUCCAACCUGCUGAAUCAAAAGAAACAUUUAACUCUGUGAGCUGAUGGCACACAUCACAAGCAGUUUCACAGAUAGCUUUUUUCAAGUUUCUAUCAUGAGAAAUUCUGUUUUUCAAUAUAGGCUUUAGUGGGCUCAGAAAUGUCCCUCCGUAAAUUCUACAAAAGAGUGUUUCUAAGUUGCUGAAUCAUAAGAAAGGUUUAACUCUAUUAGCUGAAUCUACAUAUCACAAAGGGGUUUCACAGAUAGCUUCUUUCCAGUUCACAUCAGGAGAUUUUUUUUUCCCUAUAGGUCCCAGUGGGCUCCAAAAUGUCUCUUCACAGAUUCUAGUAAAAGAGUGUUUCCAAUUUUUUGAAUCAAGAGAAAGGAUUAACUCUGUGAGAUGAAUGCACACGUCAUGAAAAUGUUUCACAGAAAGUUUUUUUCUAGUUUUUAUUGCAGGAUAUUCAGUUUUUCACUAUAGCCUCUGUAGGCUUUGAAAUGACCCUUUACAGAUUUACAAAAAAACUGUUUCAAACCUGAUGAAUCAUAAGAAAAGUUUACCUCUGUGAGCUGAAUCCACAUAUCAGAAAGCACAUUCACAGAUACCUUCUUUCUACUUUUUAUCGUGGGAUAUUUGGUUUUUCACUAUAAGCUUCAGUGUGCACUGAAAUGUUUAUUCACAUAUUCUAUAAAAUGUGCUUACAACCUGCUGAAUCAAAAGAAAGGCUUAACUCUCUGAGCUGAAUCCACAUACCACAAAGUAGUUUCAUAUAUAGCUUCUUUCUAGUUUUUAUUGUGCGAUAUUCAUUUUUUUACUAUAUGCCUCGGUAGGUUCAGAAAUGUUUCUUGGCAGACUUUACAAAAACAGUUUUUUCAAGUUGCUAAAUCAAAAGAAAGUUUUAAAUCUGUAAGUUGAAUGCACACAUGGAAAGCAGUUGCACAGAUAGCCUCUAUUUUAUCGCAGUAUAUUCCAUGUUUUACUAUAGGCCUCCAUGGUCUAAGAAAUGUCCCUUCCCAGAGUCUACAGAAAGAGUGUUUCCAACCAACUAAAUAAAAGGAAAGAUAUAACUCAGUCAGCUGAAUGGACACAUCACAAAGGAGUUUCACAGAUAUUUUCUUUCUAGUUUUUAUCAUGGGAUAUUCUGUUUCUCAUUAUAGGACUCAGUGAACACCAAAAUGUCCCUUUGCAGAUUCCUCAAAAAGAGUUUUAAAACCUGCUGAAGUGAAAAAAAUUUAAUUCUGUGAGACGAAUGCACACAUCACAAAGCAGUUUCACAGAUAGCUUCUUUCUAGUUUUUAUCACGGAAUAUUAGGUUUUUCACUACAGGCCUCUGUGGGCUCAGAAAAGACCCUUCCCAGGUACUAAGAAAAGAGUGUUGAAACCUGCUGUGUCAAAGGAAAGGUUUAACUUGAUAAGCUGAAUCCAUACCUCACAAAGGAGAUUCAUAAAUAGCUUCUUUCUAGUUUUAUCACGAGAUUUUCAGUUUUUCACUACAGGCCUCAGUGGGCUCUGAAAUGUCCCUUUGCAGAUUAUACAAAAAGAGGGUUUCCCACAGGCUGAAUCAAAAGAAAGGUGUAACUCUGUGAGCGAAAUGCAUACAUCACAAAGCAGUUUCACAGAUAGCCUCUUUCUAUUUUAUUGUGAGAUAUUUGGUUUUUCACUAUAGGUGUCAGUGGGCUCUUAAAUGUUUCUUCACAGAUUCUAAAAACAGAUUGUUUCAAACCUGCUGAAUAAAAAUAAAGGUUUAACCCUGUGAGCUUAAUCCACACAUCACAAAGCAGUUUCACACAUAGUUUCUUUCUAAUUUUUGUCACAGGAUACUUGGUGUUACACUAUAGGCCUCACUGGGUUCCAAAAUAUUUCUUCCCGGAUUUUACAAGGAGAAUUUUUCCAACCUGUUGAAUCAGAAGAAAGGUUGAACUCUGUGAGCUGAAUACACACAUGACAAAUCAGUUUCACUGAUAGCUUCUUUCUAGUAUUUAUCGGGGAUAUUUGGUUUUUCACUAUAGGCUUCACGGGGUUCCAAAAUGUCCCUUUGCAGAUUCUACAGCAGAUUCCUAUCUGCUGUGUAAAAAGAAAGGUUUAAGUCAUUGAGCUGAAUUCACAAAUCACAAAGCAGUUUCUCAGAUAGCUUCUUUCUAGUUUUUAUCAUGGAAUAUCUGGUUUUUCUCUACUGGCCUCAGUGGGCUUUGAAAUCUCCCUUCAUAGAUUUUACAAAAAGUUUGUUUUUAACCUGCUGAAUUAAAGGAAAGGUUUAAUUCUGUUAUCUGAAUGCACACAUUACAAAGCAGUUUCACAUAUUAAUUCUUUCUAGUUUGAAUUGCUGGAUGUUCUUUUUCUCACUAUAGGCCUCAGUGCACCCCAAAAUGUUCCUAUGCAGAUUCUACAAAAAGAGUGUAUCCAACAUGCUGAAUCAAAAGAAAAGUUCAAUUCUAUGAGCUGAAUCCCCAUAUCACAAAGCAGCCUCACACAUAUCUUCUUUCUAGUUCUUACUGUGAAAUAUUCUCUUUCUCAAUAUAGGCCUCAGUUGGCUUCUGAAAUGUCUCUUCACAGAUUCUACAAAAAGAGUGUUACCAACCUUCUUAAUCCAAAGAAAGUUUUAACUCAGUGAGCUGAAUCUGCACAUCACAAUUAGAUUCACAGGUACCUUCUUUAUUUCAUUUUUCACUCUAUGCUUCAGAAGGCUCAGAAAUGUCCCUUCACAAAUACUACAAAGAGAAUGUUUCCAAGCUGCUGAAUCAAAAAAAGGUUUACUUCUUUGAGCUGAAUACACACAUUACAAAGCAGUUUCACAGAUAGCUUCUUCUGUGAAUAUCAUGGGAUAUUCUGUUUCUCACUGUAGACUUCAGUGGGUUCCAAAAGUUCCCUUUGCAGAUUCAACAAAAAGACUGUUUACAACAUGCUAAAUAAAAAGAAAGUUUUAACACUGUGAAGUGAAUCCAUACAUCCUAAAGCAGUUUCACAGAUAGCUUCUUUCUUGAUUUUAUCUUGGGAUAUUCAGUUUUCCACUAUAGGUCUCAGUUUACUCCAAAAUGUCCCUUCACAAGUUCUACAAAAAGGGUGCUUCCAACUUGCUGUAUCAAAACCAAGGUUUAACUCUGUGAGCUGAAUGCACAUAUAACAAAGCAGUUUCACAGAUAGCUUCUUUCUCAUUUUUUAUUGCUGGUUCUUCUGUUUUUCACUAUAGGCUUCAGUGGGCUCUGAAAUGUCCUUUCACAGAUUAUAGAAAAAUCGUGUUUCUCACCAAAAGGCCUCUUCCACCCUAGAAGACCCAGGGCUUUCCCGGGCAAGCUGUAAAGUUCCAGGCCUCGGAGCAAGGUGCUUGUGUCUCUCCAUUAAGGCGCCCACAAGCGAACACGGGUUCAUGGGCGGGACACAGAAACUCAGCGGGACGUUGAGGCAGGCAGAGCAGAGAAGCUGCGAGACUGCAUGGAAUGCUGGGAGUCUCCCAGUGAAUCCUCUCCCUCCAGGAAGCAUUCAGGGCUCUCCUGGGCAGGCAGUAAGGCCCCAAACCUUGGAGCAAG
rnacentral:lncRNA from 1 species